rnacentral:rRNA from 1 species
CUACGGGAGGCAGCAGUGGGGAAUCCUACGGGAUGCAGCAGUGGGGAAUAUUGGACAAUGGGCGCAAGCCUGAUCCAGCCAUGCCGCGUGAGUGAUGAAGGCCCUAGGGUUGUAAAGCUCUUUCACCGGUGAAGAUAAUGACGGUAACCGGAGAAGAAGCCCCGGCUAACUUCGUGCCAGCAGCCGCGGUAAUACGAAGGGGGCUAGCGUUGUUCGGAUUUACUGGGCGUAAAGCGCACGUAGGCGGACUUUUAAGUCAGGGGUGAAAUCCCGGGGCUCAACCCCGGAACUGCCUUUGAUACUGGAAGUCUUGAGUAUGGAAGAGGUGAGUGGA